UUGGGAUUUAACUUCACCUUUUAUACCCACUUCACAUUGAUUGCUUUCUUGCCUUGAGACAAUUCGACAAGUGACCAAUUGUUGUUGACUCCAAUGGACUUCAGUUCCUCAUUCAUCGCUUUCAUCUAUGUCAAAUCCUUCAAUGUCUCAGUUGCACUAACUGGUUCGACAUCUGAAUAGAAAGCAUAGUGUACAAGCUCACUUUCAUCAUUAACCAUGUCAUAUGAUGUAAUCACACAUUCCUACAACCUUGUAGGCAUGUGUCUUAUUCUUUGAGGUCUGCUUAUGCUUGCUUGACCUCUUACUUCUUCCUGUUGAAUUUCUCUUUCGACUUCACCUGAUGUUCUUCACAUAAGAUUCUCACUGAAUCCUUCUUUAUAUUUUUUGUCCAAUCUCACUCUUUAAGCUCAUCUAUGAUCAUGUCACUGUUGAUUACUACUUGGUUGUUCACUAGGUCGAACAACUUGUAUCCACCAAUCGAAUGAUAUCCUAUUAGGAUCAUUUGACUCGGCUUGUCAUCAAGUUUUCUUCUCAACUGAUCAAGAACAUGUCUAUGUGUUAUAGAUACAAAUACUCUCAGAUGACUUAAGUUAGGCUUGACACCGGACCAACAUUCUUCUGGCACGAUUCCUUCUAUCCUUUUCGUCAGACAUCUAUUCAAAAUGUAUGUUGCAGUCGACACAACUUUUCCCCAUAAUUCUUUGGGUAGAUACUUGCCUUUAAACAUAUUUCUCACCAUAUUCAUGAUGGUUGUAUUCAUCCUUUCAGCAGUUCCAUUUUGUUGUGGAGUGUAGGGUGGCACCACCUCAUGCAUAAUCCAUUCUUUCUCAUAUAAUGUGUCAAAGUCUUUUAACACAUGCUCUCCACCACCAUCAGUCCUCAGAAUCUUGAGCUUUCGACCACUUUGUUUUUUACCAUAGAUUUAAACUUGGAAAAUACCUCAAUCACUUCACUUUUCUUCUUGAUCAGGUAAGUCUACCGUUUUUGACUAAAAUCAUCUAUGAAUGUGACAAAAGAUAUGUUACCUCCAAACAAAUCCAUUUGGAUAAGACCACAUACAUCAGAGUAUAUGAUUUCAAGAAUUCCCUUUGACUUGCUUCCUGCAUCCUUGUUAAAGUUGUUCUUGUGUUGCUUUGCCUGCACACAUUCCUCACACACUUCAUUUGGAAUUUCGAUUUCUGGUAACCCUGACACCAUGUUUCUUCUUUUCAGAUCUCUGAUGUCCUUAAAGUUGAGAUGGCCAAGUCUAUGGUGACAUAUCCAUUCAUACCUGCUAGUUGCAAUUGCAAGGCACUUGUGCUCCAUCAUAUUAUGUUCAAUCAAGAAGUUUUUAUUCGGAGAAAUAGGAGUCUUCAAGAUUAACCUUACACCUGAGUCGAGAACUCUUAUCAUCUUAUCUUCAAUUGACACUUUGUAAUUAUUUUCGACCAACUACCAUUUGCUGAGCAAAUUACUUUUCAUGUCUGGUAUAUACAAUACAUUGGAAAUUACUGACCUUUUGAUAUCUUUCCUCGUAAUCAAAACAUCACCAAUACCUCCAGCUGCUAGAGUAUUUCCAUUUUCAAAUUUCACUAUGUUCUUCAUCGAGGAUUUUAUAUUGACAAACCAAUAUUUCCUACCAGUCAUGUGUAAUGAGUAUCCUGAAUCCAAGUACCUUUGGUACUUGAAUCUUUCUUCAUCUCUUGUUGUGACCAUCAACAUCAUUUUUUUCUUCAUGUUUUUUCAGCUUUGCAUCAUUUUCCUGAUUCUUUUGUUUUUUAGGACAAUCACUAGAUUAGUGACCAUACUUAUGACAAUUGAAACACUGAAUGUGACUCCUGUCAGGUUUUCGUCCACCACAUUUUCCUCUACUUGCAACACCACAUUUGCGGUUGCUUUGUAUGAGAGUAUUAUUUGAUUUGAUGAAUUUACUUCUUGCUGGUUUCCUCUACCAGUCUAAUCGUUGAAGACUCCUCUACCUUUGUUGCCGAACCAUUUUCCUUUGCCUUUAUUUUCUCUUGUUGAUUACACCUGCAAAGCCACAUCGCUCUUCGACUUUCUUAUAACUCUUUCAGUCAUUCUUUGUUUAUGAGAUUCAAGCGUCCCUUAAAGCUUUUCCUUUUUCAAUGUUGACAAGUCUUUUGAUUCUUCUAUGGCUACCACCACAUGAUCGAAUUUUGGGGCCAUUAACCUCCAUAUCUUUGCGACAACUGAUCUUGAUGUCAACACUUCUCCAUAUACCUUGAUUUGAUUCACCAAUUUCGUAGCCCCUAGUAAAAAAAAUUAGUUAUGCUUUCACUUUAUUCCAUCUGAAGCAAUUCAUACGUCCUUUUGUGAGUUUGUAACCUCACAUUUUUACCUUUCUCAGCGCCUCCAAACGAUUUCUGCAAAAUUUCUUGUGCUUCUUUCACUGAUUCAACAUCAUUCAGCUUUUUCAAAAUUCUUUGGAUCAACAUAUUAAUGAAUUAUAAAGAGAGCUUUAUAAUCUUUAUUCUUAAAAUCUUUGUGUGCAACCUUUUGUUUAUUUAUCGCAUUUUCUGCAAGUGGUGUUAUCCCUUCCUUCACAAGAUCCCACAUGUCUUGAUAACAAAAUACAAUCUUCAUCUGCUUACACCAAUUAUCAUAAUUCUUACCAUUCAGAAUCAGAAGACUUGUUGGAAAAUGCCCAUUCCGAUGAUUCAUCGUGUUAUGCUUCCCAAGAAUCACACGGCUAGUGCUCUAGAUACCAGAUGUUGGAAUUUCGACGAAUUCCCAAUGUUGGAAUUUCACCAAAACUCAUAAUUCUGAAUCAAUCUUAACGAACAAGAAUCAUUUUUUCUAAUUGAUUACUCAUCUUAUUCUUUACUCUUCACUCAAAUGAAUCAACCACACCUUGGUUGCAAGAUGAUUCCACUGCAUAGAAAUUUGAGAAGAAAAGAAAAGAUGAAUUGGGGAAGAAAGGAGAAAAUAGGAUUUUAGAGAAAAAUGGGAAGAGGGGGAAUAUUUUUGUAGAGUUUCUAUCUGCUUUCAAACUUAAGUUUAUUCAAUCUUUUCUCUAUGAAACUACUCAUUACAAUGAUAGAGUACCUCCCUAUUUAUAUACUGAGAUUGCUUGCACACCAAGCAAUCUCAAAUUAAUCUAACUCAACUAAAAACACAAAAUAAAUCUUAGUCUUAAGUUUCUGCCGAAGACACACUUCUUCGAUAUUUCGAUAGCUAUACAAUUUAUGCACAGAGCAUUUCGACAAUAAAAGACUCUAUCGAAUUACUGCUUCAACAUAAAGGAUUACACUUUCAACACACACCUUAUUUAGUACCAGUGGGAGAGAGAUUGUAGAAAACAUGAGUAAAUUUCAAAGCACUGUCGCUAAUAGGAAUGGUUGGAAUAACAUGAAUGUGGUGCACAUGAGCACUAUUAAAACACUAAUAAUGAAUUAGAUCUAAGAAAAUAGUCUCAACCAUAAAAGAUUUAGAAAAACCAGAAGAGUCUAAGGAUGUUGAAAGACAAAAUGUUAAAGGUUCUUUAUUUAGUCUUUGCAUGUGUUUCUUAUUGUCAUUGGUAUUACAACAUGUAUAUCACUCCCCUAAAAACAAAAGAGUGUACGGAUGUCAUCAUUAGUAAAAAUAGACAACGUAUUGAAAAAAUUUAAACCGAAACGACGAAGAAACAAUACAUUUGUAUAUUUUACACAAUAAACCUAUUAUGCUAUGUAAUAUAUUUGAAUAUGAAGAGAAAUACCUCUACAAGGCAUUCACACAUUAAACUUGUCUCCUUUAGUAUUUUUUUAUUAAAAAUAUUUAGUUCACCGUCAAAUGAUUGUAUGAAAAUUUUAAUUAAAAUGCACUGAUAAUGUAAAAUGAUUGUGUACGGUUGGUUAAUCAUAGAUUUAAAUGUUAGGAGAAAAUUAACUUUUAUUUUAAUUAUUUAUAAAGUAAUAUAAAUUGAUGGUAGUAAUGAACUGAUAGUAUAAAACAUCUUACACGUGUAUAGUGUUGGUGCACAAGGUGAUAAAGAAGAGCAAUAAACAAGAGAGAGAAAAGAGAAUAAUAACAAACUUCCACUACUCUUGAAAUGGUUACAAAAUGGUUGCACAAAAAAAAUGCACACACACACUGCAAAAGGAAUAAAGGUACAAUUUGUUCUCACCACUCACUUGCUUAAAUACAAGUGGGACUUUUAGGAAAAUACUAAAAUACCUUCUAACAAACUUUGUCUACAAGUUUCUCAAAAUAUGAAUUCAUUCAAACAUCAUCCUUUAAUUCAUAUUCAGCUUAACCAAAACUAACAACACCAAUUUCAUCCCUCAAACGUAGAAAUUGAUCAAUCUUGAUCGCCUUCAUCAGAACAUCUGCCAGCUGCUUCUAGGUGCUACAGUGCACAAACUCUAGCACUCCAUUCUGAACCUAAUUUCUCAGAAAGUGAUACUUAUUAACAAUAUGCUUGCUUAUCCCAUGCAACAUUGGGUUCUUGGAAAGAUUGAUUGCAGACUUGUUAUCAAUCAUCAAGUUCAGAGGCUUAUUUACCUUGAUCUGCAGAUCCUGCAAUAAAUUUAAAAGCCACACAGCUAGGCAUGCAGUCACAACACCUGCAAUAUAUUCUGCUUCACAGGUUAACAAACCAACCACUGGUUGCUUCUUGGAACACCAAGAAAUAGAACUUCCUAUAAACUUAAACAAGUAUCCAGAAGUCCUUCUUCUGUCAACUCUGUCUCCACACAGAUCAGAAUUUGAGUAACUCAGAAGUUUUGAGCCAAUUUUAGCACCAGAAGGGAACAAAACUCCUUCAGAGUUCCCUUUAUAUACCUCAGAAUUCUUACAGCAACUUGGUAAUGAGACCACUUCGGUUUACUCAUAAACCUACUCACUAUUCCAACUGCAUAGCAAAUAUAAGGUUUGGUAUUACACAAAUAUCUCAGAGACCCUACCAACUGCUUGAACAUUGUCGCAUCUACAUUAUCACCAUCAGAAUCAAAAUCAAAAUCCAAUUUCUGAUUUAUAUCAGCAGGUGUGAUAGAAACUUUAUAAUUCAGAAGCUCAAGUUUAUAUUUCAGCUGAUGUAAAAUUAUGCCUUUCUCAGAGUACAUAAUUUCCAUUCCUAGAAAAUAGACAUGUUUCCUAGAUCAGUCAUACCAAACUCAUUCAUUAGCUCCUUAUUGAACUUAACUAUCUCAUGUUCAUAACUUCCUAUUAGAAAUAUGUCAUCAACAUACAAACACACCAGAACCAUAUUACCUUCAGAAUUAUGCUGAACAUAGACAAUAUACUCCAUCUCACAUUUCUGAAAUCCCUGCUUCUUGAAAAAUGAAUCAAUUUUCAGAUUCCAAGCUCUAAGGGCUUGCUUCAGUCCAUACAAAUCUUUGUGUAAUCUGUACACCAUCCCUUCUUGAUUCUUUUUCUCAAAUCCAUGAGGUUGUGACACAUAAACCUCUUCUUCUAAUGGACUAUUCAAAAAUGCAGAUUUCACGUCUAAAUGCAUUAGAGUCUAAUUCCUAUAAGCAGUCAUCGCAAUCACCAACCUGAUUGUUUCAUGUCUUGCUACAAGCGCAAACACUUCAAAGUAAUCUAACUCAGGUUUCUGCAAAAAAAACCUCUUACAAUUAACCUUUCUUUGUGUUUUCCAAUUGAUCCAUCUGGCUUUAGCUUCACCUUAUAAACUCAUCUCACGUUGAUGGCUUUCUUGUUCUUUGGAAGUUCUGUCAGCUUCCAAGUUUUGUUUCUCUCUAUGGCAUCAAGUUCUUCUUUCAUGGCCUUUAGCCAGAAUUUCUGCUUGAGAGCUUCUUCCGUACUCACAGGUUCAGAAUCUACUAACAUGGUACACUGAAUAAUUUUCCCUUCAGAAUCUACUUUAGUAUCUUGCAGCAUGUCAAACUCUGCAAACCUUCUCGGAAUGUUUCUGAUUCUUUUUUGCCUUUGAACUUGUUCAAAAUCUUCUGAUUCUUGAACAAUAUCAAAUGCUAGAACUCUAUAAGUACCAACUUCAGAAGCAUGGCCGAUUCUAGAAUCUGGAAUAUACCCAGAAUCUGGACUACCACCAGAAUCUGGAUCAGAAUCAGAUUCUUACUUAGAAUCAAUCUCUCAUUCUGAUUCUGAUUCACUCUCAGAAUCAUUUUCAGGCUCUGAAUCAUCUUCAGAAUCAGAAUCAAUAUCUUUAGAAGUUAACUCUACACCGAAGUUAGAUUGAGACUUUCUCCAAUCUCAUACUUCUUACUCUUUCACAACAACAUCUAUGUUGACUUCAACCUUAUUAGUGAAUGGACAAUAAAGCUUAUGAGCACUUGUACUAUGAUAUCCCACCAGUAACAUCACCUUACUUCUAUCAUCCAGCUUCUUUCUAGUAGCAUCUGGAACGUGUUUAUAACAGACAGAACCAAAUACUCUGAAAUGACUCACACUUUGCUUAUCUCCAGCCCACCUCUCAAAAGGAAUAAUUUCCUUCAUCUUCUUGGUUGGACACCUGUUGAGCACAUAUGUUACAAUUGCAAUAGCUUCUCCCUACAAAGUGUUAGGAAGCUUCUUCUCCUUCAGUAUGAUCCUUGCCAUAUCAAGUAAAGUUCGGUUUCUCCUUUCAGCAAGACCAUUGUGUUGAGGAGUAUAUGGAGCAGUCACUUCAUGCUUAAUUCCAUUCUCCUCAUAGAACUUCUUGAACUCUGUAGAGUUAUACUCGUCUUCACCAAUAGUUAUGAGAAUCUUCAGAGUCUGACCACUCUGUUUCUCAGUCUUAAUUCUGAAUUUCUUAAAUUCACCAAACACCUCGUGUUUGAACUUUAUAAGGGAUAUCCAUGUCAUCCUUGUGAACUCAUCCACAAAUGACAUAAAGUAUUUAUUCUCUCCUAGUGAAAAUUCUGGAAAUUGUCCACACACAUAAAAAUGCACUACUCCUAAAGCAUGUUUUGCUUUUGGAGAUACUUCUGAUGCAAAUGGCAGUCUUGGUUGUUUCCCUCUCACGCACACAUUGCAUAACUUUUCUGGUUUCUUAAUUGCAGGAAUUCUGCGUACCAGUUUCUUUGAAUUCAAAUGCCCUAAGCUUCUGGAAAUUCAAAUGACCAAAUCUUUUGUGCCAUAACUCACUUUCCUUCACAACACUUGUUGCGCUAAGGCAUUCAGAGUCUGCGGUUUUAACAUUCACCUUGAAUGUUCUAUUCCUUCCCUGUUCUGACUCCAUAAUAAGCUUCUGAUUACAGUCAUACAACUUCAAAAGAUUGUCCUUCAUGGUAAUUGAGAAUCCCUUCUCAAUUAAUUGACUCACACUCGUCAUAUUUAUCUUCAUGCCAGGAAUAUACCAGACGUUCUGAAUUAACACAAAUUUUCCAUUAUUCAGAAUCACUCUAACAUUCCUCAUUCCUUCGGCAUUCAGAUACUUAUCAUCGGCACAUCUGAUCUUGGUCCUCUUCCCAGAGUCAAAAUCAACCAGCCAUUUCUUAUUUCUAGUAAGAUGGUUUGAACAACCAAUGUCCAUAUACCACCAGUCUUCUAGAGACGCACUAUCAGAAUCAGAAGCCAUUAAUAGCACAUGUUCAUCAUCAAAACUUCUGACUAUAUUUUCUUCUUCUGAUUUCCUCUCCUUGUUUGACCAACAAUCUGCAGCGAAGUGGUCAAACAUCUUACAACUAUAACAUUGAAAUUUUCUUUAGUCAUACUUCUCCUUUCCCUUCUGACUUCCAAAAGUUGAGGUUUCUGACUUCUGAGACCUACCAUGUCUUUUCUUGGCUUCUGACCAAGACUGGUUCUGGUCUUUUUUGACAAAAGAAGCUUUUAGAGCCCGCUUUAUCUCUCUUUCGGAGGUUCUUUCAGUCAGACAUAACUCUUACGCCUCUAAACUGCUUUGCAACUCUUCUAUUCUCAUGUUUCCCAGAUCCUUAGAAUGUUCAAUUACUACAACGGUUUAAUCAAACUGAGGAGUGAGAGAUCUAAGUACCUUCUCAAUGAUGCUUUCCUCAUAGAGAAUGACGCACUUGGACAAUUUUCCGGAUUUUCUACGAUUUAUUGAAUUUUACUUUUCUUGAGAAGCUUAUGUGAUGAAAUACGGUAAAGUGCGGAAAGUAAAGAACACCACGAUGUAUAGUGGUUCCCCUCACAGAUCGAGAGUACUCCACUCCUCUUUUAACACGAAAGAGAAAUUCACUAUAAUGUUAAAUACUUAGAACAAGCCUCUAACUAAGUAAUCAAGAACAAUCCUCUUGAAAACUUAACUAACAAGAAAAGAAAACAAUCCUUCCUUUUCUUAACACUUAUAUCCAACAAUCCUGGAUCAUAAGCAAUACACCUAAAACCAAACAAUCCUUGGUACUUAGGAUUUUACAAAGUAUUUGAAUGAAUAUUUGAUUUAAUUUAUGUAUUAAAACUUUAAUCAAUUAUUAGAGUCUUCUUCUCUUUCAAUAUGAAAUUUCAAAGGCAAAAUAAUCUCUAAGUGCUCAAGAGUACUUUUUGAAGAAAAUGAUAUGAAAAUUCUUUUUCCAAAAGUAUCUUAAUAUGAGAAAUAGAUAAAGAUUGAAUGUAGAGAGAUUUGCAAAUUGUUUUGAAAAAGGUGAAAAUUUGUAAUGAAAAUAUGAAAAUUAUUUAUAGUAUGACUGCAUCCCUUCAAUCAUAACAAGACAAUGUUUAGAAAUGAAAUCAGAUAAUUGAUCAUGAAAAGAUGCAAGCUUUAAUCAUGGAAAGUUAUGAUGAAAUGGUGCAAUUAAUGAUGAAAUAAUUUUUCAGAUUUUUCAAAAUAUUUCCAGCAUCAAUCGAUUGACAUAACUUUAAAAAUGAAAAAAUAUACUAAGAUCAAUCGAUUGACAUACAGCAUCAAUCGACUGGUUCUGUUAGAAAAACGAAAAAAUUUAAAACAGAAAGAUUGAUCAAUCGAUUGUCAUGAAGCAUCAAUCGAUUGGUUCAGUUUGAAACAUGAAAAAUUUUAAAACAGAAGGUUUGAUCAAUCGAUUGUCAUGUAGCAUCAAUCGAUUGACAUGUCCAAAAUCUUGAAAAAAAAUUCUAAGUUAAAAACUUUUGCACAUGCAAUUUUUAAACACUAUUUAAAAUAAUUAACCAUGAUAAAAAUAACUUUAGAAUGAUAAUUUUUAAUGCAGGAUAAAAACUUAUGAGCACUAGGAGAAUUUUGUCAAGAGUUUCAUAUACCUAUAUUAGAUUCAUGAAGGCUUGAGCAAAGUUGAAGUAAUCUUCUUUUUCCAUUCUUUUGAUUGUGGAGAGCUUGAUAUGUUGUCUUCAUCAAAACCUUGUAGGAGGCUUGUCUUCACACACGCGACUUCAUCUUAUUUGUGAUCAAAAUCACUCUAGAGAUGUAGUCAAGUACCUUCUCAUUGUUCUUCAUGCUGAGAUUCUCAUACUGCUUACGUAGAGACUGAAGUUUCACCUUCUUCACAGAUGUAUCACCGUCAUAGCACUGCACCAGUGUGUCCCAUGUAGCCUUCGUCGUCGUUGAAUCAAUGAUUUUCUCAAACACGUUCACAUCCACACACUUAUGAAUGUAGAACAACGUCUUCUGAUCCUUCUUCCUCAUAUCACGUUGAGCAUUUCUCUACGCAUCUGUUGCAUUUUCUGGAAGUACAACCUGAACGUAACCAUCGUUGAUGAGAUCAAGAACAUCUUGAGCUCCAAACAACACACGCAUCUGAAUCAUCCAACGAUUCCAGUUCUUGUCAUCGAACACUAGAAGCAUGGCACUCAGAUUACCGUUUUCGUUUAUUUUCAACCUUGUGCAAUACACUCAGAUCUCACCUAAACACAGUGUUUCUCAAUCUCGCAGAAUCAAGAUAUAUGAUUCUGAACAGAAAUUCAACACGAAUUCUCCGAACAUAAAUCAAUCACACAAUGCCUCGCCGUUUCACUCGUGUUUCCCGUGGUGUUUCUCUGUGGAUCUGAACCGGAGCUCUAUAUACUAAUUGUUAGUGUACAAGGUGAUAAAGAAGAACAAUAAACAAGAGAGGGAAGAGAGAAUAAUAACAAACUUCCACAACUGUUGAAAUGAUUAUAAAAUGGUUGCACAAAAAAAUACACAUACACGCUGCAAAAGGAAUAAAGGUACAACUUAUUCUCACGACUCAUUACUUAAAUACAAAUGGAACUUUUAAAAAAAUACUAAAAUACUCUCUAACAAAUUUUAUUUAUAAAUUUUUCAAAAUAUGAAUCAAUUCUCAUGUAUAAAUUGUGUUAUUUACUACCUAUGAUUUCUUUAGGAGCAAAUUUUCUUUCUUCCUAUUAUUGAUUAACAACUUGGAUUAUUAUUAAGUGUAAACAUGUAAUGAACAAAAGCAAUCCGUUUUAUUUAUCGUGAUUCGAUAGUUUAUGUCAAGGUAUUGUAAUGUUAUAUAGUUCAUAGAAUUCCCUUAUGCAUUUUGUCGCUCUUAUUUACUUGUUAUGAUGAGUCAUAUUUAAUUUAUUUUUCUUCACUUCCUAUGGCUAAAGUUUUUUAAUAAAACCUGCUCCCAAAAAAAUGCAAAUAAAAUUGACGGUUUUGGUGCCAUGUGUUCACGUUGCCUCUUUGACUUUUGAAUAUAGAUAGAUGUACUUAUAAAACAGAACUUAUAUACAUAAUAAUUGCAAGAGUUAAGCAAAACUUAUAUAAUUGUUACUAUCAUGCUUUACUUGUCAAACAUAUCCAAGUUAUAGAUUUGAGGAGAGAAUAAUUGGCUUCUAAAUGAAUCGCAAUAUAUAUACCCUUUAUAAAAUUAAUGAGUGUGAUAGAAGAUACAAAUAAUAAAUAUCCAACUAUUUCAAAUAAUUUUAAUGUUUGACGAGGAGAAUCUGAAUCUUGAUAAUCAAUGGCAACAUGGCAAACAUUAUUUUAUUCCACUAUCACUUCUUCUUUUGUGUCCAAAUUUCAUAUCGUUUAUAAUAGAGCUGGCAUGUCCCGUUCCGUUUAGACUAUCUUAAAAGUCUUCGAUUACAUUUUGAUUACAUUUUGAUUUUGAAAUAUAACUCAUAAUUAAAAUAUAUUGUUUCAUUUAAUAGUAAAGAAUAAGGAUAAGUUAUCCACUGAUUAUAUAAUAUAAGAGUCUAUCAAUAGAGGUCAUCCAAGGGAUUAUAUUUAUAAUAAAAUUUAAAAAAGUAUUAAAUGUGAGGGGAUGUAUUAGGAAGAUUUUAAAUCUCACAUUAAUUAGAUAUAUAAUUUGAAAAGAAUUUAUAUAAAAUUAUAAUUUUUAUUUUACAAAUUGGUUUUAUAAGAAUAAGUCAUGUCAAACACUAUUAUUUAAUUAUCUUUGAUAAAAUGAUAUUGAUAAAUAAUUAUUUUAUUUUAAAAUAAAAUAAAUUAUAAAGAAUAAAAAUGAAAUUUAAUUAAAAUAAUAAAAAUAAAAAUGAAAGAAAAAAUUAAAAACUAUAAAUUAUAAAUUAAAAUGUUAUUUGAAAUAUCAAAGAAAUUAUAAGUUAAUAAGAUAAAUUAUAAACUUGUGAUAAAAAAAAUCUUUUAUUGUCGUAUGAAUUUGUAAAUUAUAAAAUAUAAAAAUAUGUCUUACAAAAUAAAACCUUAAUAAUUAUUUGAAAAAAUAUAUACACCAUGGAUAAAAAUAAGUAAAAUUUAUAUAUUAUAAUUAUCUCUUAAAAUAAAUAGAUAUAAAUGCGAAUCUAAUAUUCAUCUUGCGACAUAUCCAAAUAAUAUAUUUAUAUAUCAUAAUUUAUAUUUUUAAAUAAAGAUAUAUGUCAAUUAAUUUUAAAAAGUUAUCAUUAAAUUAUUAAGAUGUUUGUUUAUUUUAUAAUUUAAUAAUAAAAUUAAAAAAAUUUAUUAAAAUUUUAAAAUAAUAUAAAAUAUAUAUUUAAAUUCAUCUAUAUUAAAUAUAAUAAAAUUGUUUGAAUCCGUUUAUUAAAAUAAUUGUGGACAACAAAUAUAACUAUGAGUACUUAGAUAUUUAUAGAAUAUGGUGUCGAAGUUGAUAUAAAUUUUAUUUUAUUUUAAAAACACGAUCCUGUUCAAAAAUGUGAAUGCUAGAUAUUAGUAACUCAACACAUUCACACCAUCGGAUAUAAUCAAACAGUGCCUAAUUAUCUGUUAUAUGAAAUCUAACAUAUACUAUCCUACAUAUUUUUUCACUCACACACUAAAAUUAUUUUAUCGCUCAUUCAUUAAUUUAAAUGUUGCAUAUUCACCUCUAUUGUAAAAUAUGGGAAGUUCAUUGAUCUACACAUAUCUCUAAUUUGACCAUCACCAAUAAAUAAAUUAAACAAAUUCCUUACUAAUUUUAAAAAUAUAUAAGUUUUUUUAUAGGAAAAACAAGUCAAUAUAUAAUUUAAUAAUUCCUUGGGUUUUAGGCAUAGUUUAAUGAUAAGGUGACUCAUGUUAAACUAAUCACACGUAGUAUAUCCAUAUUGACGCCUACACAACUAAAAAGAAUCAAGAAUAGUCAUAAUGUCAUAUCAUUCAUUAUCUAAAUCUGAAUUUAGAUUACUACUAUAUUUACUCACAAGUCUCAAACAAUGCCUUGGUUUUAUAUUAUUUGUGACGAUAACUUACCUCACCUACGUAAAGAUAACACGAAAUAAACCGACCAAUAAUAAUAAUAAUAAUAAUAAUAAUAAUAAUAAUAAUAAUAAUAAUAAUAAUAAUAAUAAUAAUAAUAAUAAUAAUAAUAAUAAUAAAUAUGAAUUAAUAUUUUAAUAAUGUAAAGUUUGAUCGAACUCAUUAUUCAAUAAUUCAAUAUUAUAAAUUUACUUAUUUUUUAAUAUAAAUUAAAAGUUAAAUGAGGCUUAUCUAUAACAUAUAGGUGUCCAACUAAACUGUAUAUUUUCAAUGAUUUUUCAAAUAAUAAUGCUUCCGUCAUGGACGGGUACAUAUAUAAGGGAACCAUUCUAUAAUCUUCAUUAUCCAAAGUUUAAAUCUUCAUUGACCAAAAAUAAACAAGACAAUAAUAGAAUUAAAUAGAAGCAUUAAUUAUUACUGAUUAAUUAACUACUUGGCCCAAUAAUUCAAUUUAGAACAUUUUCCAAACCGUUGAAACAAGCAUUAAAAAGUUUUGGUGGUGGUUUUUCAAGUUUAUAAUAAUAUAUAAGUGGCAGAACAGAAAAAUAUAUAUAUACAAAAGAGAAAUGUAAGACUGAAUCAUCACACUGUAGGGGUAUUAUUCAUUAUCCAAACUUAGUAAAGUGUUUUAUGAUAUUUAAUAUUUUCAUUUUAAAAAAUUUAACAGGUGCCCAUCAUGACGGUGUAAUAUGAACUUUCAUAAAGAUAAGGAGACAUAUUCAGUUUCCAAAUCCUUUAAAUUUAAAAUUUUGUUUUGAUUCUUUAAUUAAAAAACGUUACACUUUCGUCCAAUAAAAUUAUUUCAUUAAUUAAUAACUUACAGCUAGAAUAUUGAGUCAGCAAAUUUAUUCAAAAAUUAAUAUUUUAUUUAAGUUUGAGGAUUUUGUUUUCGGGGUUGAUGGUUCGGGCAAACUUUUUAGAAAGAACUACUAAUCAGAAUAGUAUGAUCACAAACUUUCCCUUGCACUUCUGAAUUAUUUUCUAAAAAAUGUGGCAGGCCAUAUCCUAAAACAAUUGAAACAUGAUCAAUAUAUAUUUCGAAAAGCAAUUUCAUCAUAAUAGUAUAUUCACAAUGGACAUAUAUACAGGGCCGUCCCAAUCAAUUUGGAGGCCCUGUUCUAUUUUAAAAUUAGAUAUUUAAUAGAUGAAAACACAACAAAUUAAAAAAGAAAAAUUAUUUAAUUGUAAAUAAAAUUAAAUAUAUAGAUACAAAGAUGAUAAAAAAUACUAUGUAGAAAUUUGAUUUAUCGAAGUUUAGUUAUUCGCGUCUUUCUUCUCUUACCAUCUUCGAUUUAUAAAAAAAAGUUCAUACCAUUUAAUUUUUCUUUUUUUAAGUUUGAACAAUUUCUACAAUAUUAAUAAUGAAGUGUUUUAUUUAAUAAACAAUCAACAAUGUAAAAUUAUAAAUUUUCAAAGUCUCACAACUACUAUUUCAAAUUUAUUAAUGUAGGGAUUCACAAUGAUACAAAAAUAUAAAUAUUUUCAAAAUUACAUCUCAAAAAAUUUCAUAAAUCUAUAAAAUAUAUUAAUAAAAGAAAAAAAAAUAGGUUAAUUGCGAUAUUAAAUUUUAAAUAAAUUUAAAUAUAAUUUAUUUAGAUUAUAGGCUGUUGGAUAGGAUAUACUUCAAUAUAUUAAUAAAAGAAAAUAUUUAUUAAAUUAAUUGCAAUAUUAAAUUAAAUUUAAAAACAAUGUGGUUGCAUUUUUUUAUAAAAGUAAAACUAUACAUAAAAUGUAAGAACAAGGAAUCAAACCCAGGUUGUAAUACUACCAAAAUAGUAUGGCCACCACUAGGCUACACUACAAUUAUAUAUUAAAAUGGAAUUAGUGAUAUUCGUUAGUCUUAUAUUUAUAUUGACCCUAUCUAUCAAAUUCGGGGCCCUAAAAAGUCGGAGGCCCUGUGCGGUAGCACUCCUCGCACCCCCACAGGACCGCCCCUGCAUAUAUAUUGCAGGGAGAUCUUAACUAUAUCUCAUUUGUUGUUGUUGUUAGGGAUGUUGGUAACCAGCAUAACCCGGAUAACUUCCAUACACGUUGGGUCUUGUCCAACCGGAACAACAGCAUAACCACCCUGAGAAUAGUCAUAUUAUCCACCAUCCGCAACAACACUCCACUAGUUUAGAUCUUACAGAGUUUGAGAAUAAAAGGUACACAGUCAAUGAAAAGAAAAAUAAAAAGACUUUGAUUUCUUAACGAAAUCAAAUAGAAUAAUAAUUUUUUUAAUAAUAAUCUUUUUUGAGAAAAUUUGCAUCCAUUGCCUUUCUUUAUCACAACUUUUCGAAAGACAUGUCAUAACCUUUUUCUUGAGGUAAAAAAUAGAGAAACACUUAAAACUAUUAUCUCUCAUCGGUGAAUCAAUCUAGAAACAAAAGAAGUCAUAUUUGAAACUUUAGUAUAAGAAGAUGAAAAGGCAAUGAAAAAGAGAGAAAAUAAUAAAAUUACUUUAUCUUUAAGAAUUAUUUAAAAUCAACAUCAUUGAUAAAAUCAUUUCCAUAUUCAUUCAAUAACACUCUCAAACUUUGACAUCUUAGUAAAUCAAUCACCAAACACAUAAAUUUCAUACCCAUUAUCUAGAAAUAUAGUUCAGCAACAGAUCUAAACUCAAGGAAGAAAAAAAAUCAGAUUUAUUAGAAAUAACAGAUUCAACAAAAGAUCUAAACUCAAGAGUUUCAGCGCAAGUAAAACCUAAAAGAGGAUGAAACCAUAUUAUUAUGAGGAUCCAACACCGAGAACCACCGUGUGUGGAUCCAAGAGCCAAAUAACAAAUCGGAACACGUUUUGCUUUGUGGGUCUAAGAACCAUCAUCAUUCGUUGCUUUUGAAAUAUGAAGAGAGGAAAAGUUAGGGUUGUUUCGAUUAAAAUAAAUUUAUUAAUAAUUGCAAAAACAAAAACAAUAUGUUAUGUCAAUAUUUUCAAUAUUCCACGUAAGUCUUUGUUAACGUUUUUCCAAUAGAACUUAACAUAAGAAAUUUAUAAGAUUAACAGAGGUGUUUUAAAGGGACUGGAGUGUAACAUUUUUUAAUUAAUGAAUUAAAUAGAAAUAAUAAAUUAAGUUAAGGACCUAAAAGAUGAAUUAAGUCAAAUAAUUAAAAGUGGAUGUUACUAUUUUUAAUAUAUUUUAAUAAAAUAUUAUAUAUAUUUACCUUUUUUAUAUUAUAAAAUCUAUUGUAUUGCUAAAACUAUAAGUGCCCACCUUUAAACCGUAUUUAAAGGUUCAUGUUAGAAUGUUCCUCAAAAAAUUGUUGAUGGAAGGGAUGAUAAAAAGAAGAAAGAUAUAAUUAUUUGUUUACUAUAUAUUAACCAAAUAAUGUACAGGUAGGGUAAGAAUUAUAAGUGAAUGAUAAUUUGUCUAGAAAUAUUAAUUUUAAAAUGUUUGAGAUAAUGAACGAUAAAGGAAUACUAUUUUAUUCUUUAAAAAAUUGAAAAUUGGCGUAGAAAAAUAUUGAACAUAUCAUUUUCACAUUGUAUAACUUUGACUAGCUUUCAUAUUGUAUUCUUAAAGAAUGCUAACAACUAUUUGAUCCCACAGAAACACAAUAGUAGAAUUUGUAGUAAAUUUGCCAGGUGUGUGAAGUCUAUUCGUGGGUGCCAUAAAUUGGGUUUGGAGACAAUGGGCCGGAAUUGAGCCUUGGACUCAGGUCAUUUUGCAAAUUCUUUGAUUUCCAUGGGGGUGUUGGUAGUCACUUUUGAAAUGGUUUGGGUCGAGUGAACUCCCCUUGUCUAGUGGACUCAUAUUUGCACCCUCAUUCUGAUUUUUCUUACACCUCCCUAGUUCAAGAUGUAUUUUUGUCGCCUAUUUCUACGGGGGUUGUUUUUCCCAUUCCCAUGGCACGAUAUUUAGACUUUUGUUUCUAAGACCGCCCUCAAAUGGGUCUAAGGUGCCUUUGGUUCUGGAUGACCUACCCCAAUUUUGGAUUUUUUUUUACAUAUCACUUGGUUUCUAACUCUUCCACUCUUUUAUUGGAUCUAGUUUUAGGCUUUUUGAAAAUUUUAAUUCUUUAUUUUUAGAAAGGGUUGUUGCCUAUUGUUCACCUUCUAUGGCUUUCUCUUAGUGGGUGAAUUUAACUUCUUCACGUACUCUUUAGGGCAGAUAAGUUGUAGUUUUAAUUGUAAGAGUUACCUGAGAGCAUGGUUAAUUUCUCAUAUCUUAUACAUAAACAGUUGUAGUAUAUGAUAUGGGUUCUUUGAUAUUUGAUCAUGUUUUAUGUAUGUCACGUUCGGUUGGUCAGGCAUCAAACUUAGUGAAGAUGUUGGAACCACCUUAGUUGUAAAUACAUUGAAAACAAGAUUUCAACCAUAUGAGGAUGAGUUUCUCAUUCAAUCGUGACUUAACAUUUCAAAGGAUUCAAUUGUUGGGGUUAAUAAAAAAGGAGACAAUUUUUGAAAGAGGAUUGGUGAACCUAUAAUAAGCACUGCAAUAAGAAUUUUCAAGACAGAAAACAAAUGACAUUGAAAAGGUCAUUAGCACAAAAAGAUUAACCCUUAUAUCAAUAUACUUGUUGGGUGCUACAACCAAGUCAUGGAUUUUUAAAAAAGUGAGAGCUCUGAGAGCAACAUAAUUUCAAUUACAUAUGAUAUUUAGUACCAAGACAAAUGUGAAAUUUUUUACAUUUGAGAGUGCAUGGAGAUUGUUGAAAGAUGAAUGACUUGCAGGUUCAUCGGAACCUUCUACAAAAAAGAGUAAAUAAUUCAACUUCUAGAGCAUAUGUUUCAUCUUCUAACCCUUCAACACCAACAAGCAACUAAUGCAAUCCACCGUCACCUUCUUUGUUAGAUCAAUCAAUUGGUCAAAAGGCAGCCAAAAGAAAUAAAAAAGAAAUGCUAAAUAUCAAUACCAAGGUAAAAUCUAAUACUUUGAAAGAUGAAUUCCAAAAGAAAUAUGAAUUGAUGUCACAAUUUGCACGUGAUUAUGCACGUACUGAGGGUGAAAAGUUAAGAUAGAGAAAAAAAGAUUGAUGCAGAGAAGCGUAAUGCCGAGAGUGAUAUGGUAAGAUUGAAGAACAAUGAUUUGUAAACAUUUAUAAAGGAUACAUCAAAUACGAAUUCAAGACAACUACAAGCUCCUGAAAUAUUUUGUAACGUGAUUAGAGGAGAAUAUGGAAUUGAUUAAUAUGAUUAUGAAUGUUGAAUAGUUUUUAGAUUCUCAUUAUUUUUUAUUAUUAUUAUUAUUAUUAUUAUUAUUAUUAUUAUUAUUAUUAUAUCACUAGUUAUUCAAACUCAAUAAGAUUCAAACUAGUCAUUAUUCAAACUAAAUAUUAUUCAAACGAGACUUUAUUCAAACUCAAUAAUAUUCAACUAGUAGUUAUUAUUAGCCUUAUAAAUACUCUUAACAUGUGUAAUAAGUUUCACAAUCUUUUUCAACUUAUAUUCCUCUUAAUUCAAUAUUAAACUGCUUUAUAAAAUGUUUUUGGAUUAUAUGAAUGAUGACAUGGAUGAAGAACUUGUGAGACGUUACUUUGAAAGUGAAGCGCAAGAAUAAGCUGCAAGCUCCAGUAGGCAUAGACACCAAAAAAGGAAUAUAGAGAGAGGAAACGUGAAGAAGUUUAUGGUCGCUUAUUUAAUGAUUAUUUUUCAAAAGCACCAGUGUACACAAAUGAGCAACUUUUUUGAAGAUAUCGAAUGCAUAAACAUAUAUUCCUUCAUAUUGUUGAAGUUCUUAGUCAACAUGAUGAGUAUUUUUGGCUUAGAGUUGAUGCAACUAGUAGAUCAAGUCUUUCACAGCUUCAAAAAUGCAAUGCAGUUAUUUGUAUGUUUACAUAUGGAAAAAUUGUUGAUAUAUAGAUGAAUAGUUUAGAAUUUGUGAAACUAUGACACUGAAAUAUGUUAAUAAGUUCACAAGGAGUAUGAACAUUGUAUUUGGGCCAUAAUAUUUGCGAAAGCAAACCAUUGAAUACAUUGAAUGCCUGCUAUAGAUAUGGGGGCAUGUAGCUUUCCAUGUAUGUUAGGGGGCAUUGAUUGUAUGCAUUGGGAAUGGAAAAGAUUCCAUGUUGCAUUGAAAGGGCAGUAUGUCUAGGUGACCAUGGUAAAUCAAUUAUUAUGCUUUAAGCAGUGGCUUCACGAGAAUAAUGGAUUUGACAAGUGUUCUUUGGGGUAACGGGUUCAAACAACGACAUCAAUAUGUUUAACCAAUUUGAUGUCUUCGACGAUGUUGUCGUACCUCGAAAAAUGAGAAAAUGGUGCUCGCAAAGCGCAAUCACAUGCUCGUAGAUGGACUGAACAGAGUUGCCACCGAACUUUAUUUAUUCCCAAAGAAGGAAAGAGAAAAUAUCGAUAAAACCCCUAAAAGAAAGGAUAUGAUAUGGUCAUCGCAACCAAUAUCUGGGUUCGGGAGUCGGCUACGCAAGGGGAAUGUAUUAACACCUCUCACGUCCGUUGUACUUAACGAGAACCGUUUAGUUAGUUUCGAAUUGAAUGUUAGCUUAUGUUAGUUUACAAUCUUUUACUUAUUUGGGAUAUAAAAAGAGAGAAGAGAAAUGUUUUUUUGAAAUUUAUUAAUGAGAGAUGGCCUAAAAAGGUUGUUAUUAUUCGGGGGCCUAAGAGGGACUAAACCUAAAUUUUUUAUUAAUAGGCCUGACAAAAUUUCGCAAUCCUGCUCCUACAUAUCUCCGGGUGCAAUAGAGAAUUCAAGGCUUACAUAGUUCUGGUAGAAAAUGUUUGUUUCUUAGUCGAUUUUAAAGAAAACUAUCUUGUAUUAAACGACACAAAAAUAGUGUUUUACCUAAAAUAGGUGAGGAAUGGGCGCUUACAUCACAUUUAAUGGAUUUAUAAAUUAAUAUUUAUGGGAAUAUGUGGCUUAUCUCAUCUCAACGAUUAUGGAUGAAGCAUUGCUUGGCAUCAUCUUAAGACAAAAUGUCUUUCGUUUUUGAAAAGGUUUUUCAGAUUAAUCGCACGGCGGCGAGAAAAAAUAGUUCGAUGGUUGGAUGUGUUUUAGGUGAGUGACGAAUGUUUAAUGAGAACGAGACCUAAGUCUCAAGAUCAAUUAUUCGGGGUUCCAUCGAAUGCUAGAUUCCAACGGUCAUUUUUCAUUCGAAAUAAUUGAGAAAAUUGUUUGAUGGACAACGAACACUUGAUAAGAAUCAAUUGUUCAAAAAGUUAUGCCAAAAAGCUUGACUCCAACGACUCUUAUUUUGUCCAAGUUAAUCAAUGUGUUUUGAGAACGAAAGAAAAAAAUGAACGGAUAACCCAAAAUACGUGGCUCGGGACCGAUCAUUCGAGGGUUUUGCUAGAAUGCUAUAUUCCAACAGUCCUCUUCUUUCGUGUUUGUAUAAAAAGGUUUAGAAAUUGCGUUCGAUUUAGGAAAGUCACUCGAUGUUGAUCGAGGUUUGAUUCAUAUAAAUGAUUUGAGAAAUGUGUUUUUUUAAAUAGUUUGAAGUAUUUGAAAGGUUAAUUAUAUAUAUAUAUAAAUAUAUAUAUAUAUAUAUUAUAUAUAAUAUAAUAUAUAUUAUAUAUAUAUAUAUAUAUAUUAUAUAUUUAUGUGUGUGUUGUGUGUGUUGUGUGUGUGUGUGUGUGUGCGUGUGCGUGUGUGUAUGUGUGUGUCUAUGUGUGUGUGUGUCUGUAUGUGCGUGUGUGCGUGUGUGCGUCUGUGUUUGUGUGUAUGUGUGUUUGUUUGUGUAUCUCUGUGUAUGUCUGUGUGUGUGUGUGUGUCUCUCUCUCUCUCUCUCUUUGUGUCUGUGUGUGUGUCUGUGUGUGUGCGCGCGUAUGUGUGUGUAUGUGUGUUUAACGAUUAUAUAGCUAAUGGAAGUAAAAACAAUAAAAAUAAAUAACAAUUACAAACAAAGGAUGAGGUAUACUUGUCAUUUGAGAAAUAAUGAAAAACAAAAUAAAUCAAAUAAUAAUAAUGAUGUAAUCACUUGAUCAAAAUAUGACUGAAACAAAAGAGAAAAUAAAUGAUGGUGUAAAUUAUUAUACACAAAAAAUGAGAAAAGAUUAAUAAUAAUUUGUUAAUAAUUUAAAAGGAAAAUCUAUUUUUUUUAAUUUUACCAUAAUUCAAAAAAAAUAUUGCUCCAUAAAAUAAUAAAAUUAAGAAAAAAACAAGAAACAAAUAUUAAAUAAGAAAAUAAGGAUAAAACAAUUAAAUAAAAUAAAAAUGUACUAGAAAGCCCAAAAGAGAGAGCUGCGUUCAUAAAUAUGGGGUGUAUUAGUGAAAAAAAAGCAUAAGGGAGACCCAACAUUUAACUCUAAAUAAGAAACUAAGAAAUAAAAAAAUAUAUAAUAAUUAAAAAAAUAUAUAUAAAAUAUAAAAGGGAAAGAAAAAAUAAUUAAAAUCUAAACAAUGAAAAACAAAAAUAAAACAAAUGUGUCUCCCCCCACCAGUUUCUUUCACUUUUUUCCAUUUUUUUUCAAAUUCUUCCUCUCAUUUUGUGACAUGUGGCAAUAUAAUUAGUAAUAAAAUAAAACAUAAACUUUCUCUUCUCUAUCACACUUUUAUACGGUAAACAAAAAUUUCAUAAUCUCUCUUUUUUCAUGAUAGUAAGACAAAUCUCAUCUCUCUUACAAUCACUUAUUUCUCUCUUGUCUCUCUUUUCGUUCUUCUUUCCUUAAAAAAAAUCUUAAUAACAAACAAAAGUCAAGACACACAAAUUCAAUAAUUCUUUCUGACUCACAUCUCAAACAAAUCAAUUAAAAAAAACAACAAAAACAAUAAUGAUAGCAAAAGUAACAUGAAAGAGAAAGGGAGACUAUCAACGGCGGCGAUGGACGCAUCGGUGGUGGUUGUUGUGCAUUUGUUGUGUGAUUGAAGAGUAUUAAAUGAUGGAGUUUGCUUGAAGCUUGAAAUGUGGUUACAUGAAGGUGAUUUAUGUGGUUUUUUACAUGAUGAAAGGAGUGGCAAUAUGGAGUUUUAUCACGAGAAAAACAAAUGUGUUGUUGUAGUAGGAAAAUAAAUGGUGAUAAUAUGGAGUAUGUGAAUCCAAAAAUGUGAGAGAAAAAAAGAGUAGUAUGUUGUUGUAUGGUUAAAUAAAUAAUAAGGAGAUGAAGUGUUUAAUAGUUAAUGUGUGAUUUGUUAGAAGUUAUGGUUAUUUUAUACGUUAUGGAGUUAGUGCAUGAAGGUUUUGGUUCACAUUGAUUGAAAAAAAAUGGAGCAUGAAAAUAUUGUAAUGGAAGAGAUGAACAUGAAUUGUAGAAAAUAGUAAGUUUUGGUUGAAAUGGAAAUGUAGUAAUGGCUUGUGAGAAAGAAAAAAGAGAAGUUUAGUGGUUGUUUCAUGAAGAAGAACUAAUUCUUCUUUUCCUUUCCUGCCAAUGCCAACGAAAAGAUGUAGGUGUUUAAUUGGCUGCAUUAUAUGGUAAAAUACUAGAUGGUUACUAAUGUCUUGACUGAUGUCAUGACAUGUAUGUGUGACUACAUUGUAGUUACUGCAGGACUAGCUAACACAUGAUUUAUUGAAUGUCAAACUGGAUGCUGUGACAUUCAUACCUGUCAACAGAUACUAAGAAUAGAACAGCAGGUGUUCUGUUAGAACUUAGUAUUUAUUUCCAGUCUGGUUAUCAAGGAAAGACCAGACCUGGCAUAAGGCCUACUGACUGAAUGUCAAACUGGAUGUUAUGACAUUCAUCAUUGACAGCAGCUACUGAACAUUAGACAGAGUGGUGUUCUGCUAUACUUCAGCAUGUAACUUAGUUUGUUCUUCAAGAGAAUAACAGAACUAACUUAAGGCCAAAUGUGUAAAUGUUAAGUUGGACACUUUGACAUUUAUUAAUGUAAGUUGUUACUGUAGUAUGGUCUUUUUGAGCAUGUACAGGUCAGCAAAAUUGUACAGUCUGUUUUCUGGAAAACAGACUCAGCAUAUGGACCUUGAUGUCAAGCUGAAUGUCUGACUUCAUUCUGACAGCAUAUGCUAUAUUGUAGGUUGUUCAGUUUUCUGUUUCAGCUUUUUCUCAGGCUAUUCUUCAGGAUUCAAACAACUGAGAGAAAACCAGAAAUCAACAACCAAGCUACAUUCAAUGAACCUAACAAAUAGCCAUUUGUUAGUAACCUAAUGUUGAAUUUAUGGGAACUCGCGUGACCUUAAAUCAGGAGAAUACAGGUGCAAAAGCCCAGGGUACUGCAAUAUAAAAGAAGGCGUUCCUUCAUUCAGUUUCAGGGAUUUUGAGGCGUGAAGAUUUUGUGUGUCCAUCAUACUUCACUGCGUAUUUUGUGAGUCUUGUAUUAGACGUUCUUGUAAGCCAAGCCAUUAUCAAGUAGAUGAUUGCUGUGGCAUAGGGUGUUCAUUGAGUUGUAAGUGUUGUGUCGCUCAAAGCUUUUAAGCGUGUGCUGUGUAUCUUGAUUAAAGCUGUGAAGCACAAUCAAAGAGUGUUGAAAGUGUGACUUCAACUUGUCUUUAAUAUGGUUAAGAGAUAGUAAUCACUGAGGUGAUUGAGGGAGUGAGUAGGAACUCUGAUCUUAGGUUAAGAUUGAAAUUGAUUGGUAGGGAUUAAGUGAUAAGUUGUAAACGGGUGAGUUUAGCUUUGAAUUGAUACUACAAUAGUGGAUUUCCUCCUGGCUUGGUAGCCCCAGAUGUAGGUCAUGUUGGACUGAACUGGGUAAACAAUUAUUUGUGUUUUACUGCACUUACUGUUAAGUUCUGCAUAAUUCCUGUCUGUGCAGAAUUGGAUGUCAUAACAACCCGUGUGACAUCCAAAGUCUGAUAACUAGAUUUCAAUGGCAUCAGAGCAGGCACCCUUGCUGUGAAUUUCUGUGGUGAGAUCUAGGGAAGUUACUUUCUAGUACCAUGGACAAGAUUUGAGGACACUCAACAGACCACCCAUGUUGGAUGGCUCUAAUUAUGAUGACUGGAAGCUCGUAUGAUAGCUUCUUAGUUCUAGAGCAGCAAGUCUGGAGAGCUGUCACAAAGGAUGGGAACAUCCACAAUGAGGACAGGUGAAGAUGGAGUCAGUGGUGCAGUCCUGAGAAGAGUGGACAAGGAGCAAGAGCAUUAGCUCUUGGAAAUUCAAGCAUUGAAUGCAUUGUUCAAUGGAAUCAGCAAGAACAUUCAGGCUGGUACACCACUGUGAACUAGCUAAGGAAGUUUGGAUACCCUCAAGGUAACUCAUAGGUACUUCCAAGGUGAAGAUGUCCAAACUUCAGAUGCUGACACAAGUUUGAAAUCUGAGGAUGAAAGAGGAUGAGACUAUUCAUGACUUCACAUGAAUAUUCUUAAAAUGCAAACACCUUGGUGGACUAGGUGAGAAAUGGCUGAAGAGAAACUUGUAAGAAAAUUCUCAGGUCUUGCCUAAGAGAUUUGCUAUGAAGUCACAGCCAUAGAGGAGCGGCGCAUGACAUCUGCAACAUGAAGGUGGAUGAGCUCAUUGGUUCCCUCCAAACCUUUGAAAUGGCUUGGGUGAGUAUGCUGAGAAGAAGAACAAAAGCAUAGCUUUUGUAUCUAAUGUUGAAGAGGAUCAGAAGCAGGAUAUACUGAGGUGAUGAAAGUAUAUCAGAAGCCUUAGCCAUGCUUGGAGACAGUUCAACAAGUUCGUGAAGAAGAUUGAUCAAAGAGGUAGACCCAAUGUCAAGAAGGAGAAUCUGAAGGAGAAUCUGCCAACAUGUCACUGCACUAACAGUGUUUGUGCUCUGAAGAUGACUCAAGUGCAGAUGAACUGACCUUUGAUGAAACUUGCUGCAGCCUAUAAGAAGCAUGUGCUUCCAACACAGUGCAGAAGUGCGUGUCACAAGGAGAAAAGCAAAAGAAACUCAUCAAGGAACUGGAAGAUGAGAGACGAAGCAACUGUCUGUCAUAGAGGGCUAAAUGGUGAGAUACCCUGCUGACCUCCAAGCUGAAUCAGAUGACUAAAUCCAUCAGAAAUGAUGAAUAAGGGAACUGACACUUGGAAGACGAUCCAAAGGUGCGACAGCAGUCGGAACCAAACUGGCCUUGCGAUUUGGGAAAAGAUCCUCAACUGAACACAAAUGCCAAAGGCUAAAGUUCAGAAGUUCACAGCGGAGGUCAAAGCCAAUGUCUCAAACAUCGAGGAACUAGAUGAAAUGAUCAUCAGAAGAGGGAAACAGGAGUGGAGGUGUCACCACUUGGUAGGCUUGGUCAUAUAAAAGCCUUCUGCUACUGGAUUCAUGGUUCCCUAACCAGCUUGCAUGUCAGGCCUAAGCAUAAACACAUAAGCGCUAUUUCCAUUAAGAAGCAACAAUGGUAUGCUAGGAUAGCACAACACUGCUCUAAGGGCUUUCUACCAGAGAAGGACUGUACUUGACGUGGAUGCUCAAGAUAUAUGACUGGUAUGGAAAUCUACUGUAGAUAUUCAACCUACACUCACAGCUAUGUGACCUUUGUGAUGGUGCACAAGAAAAAUAAAGGUGUGGGCACAACUGGACCUGUUCUGGAGUGCCAAAACUGAAUAAUGUGCUGUUGUAAGAGGACUAACUGCCAAACCUCAUCAAGCAUAAGUCAGCUGUGUGAUCAAGGGUUUCAUGUUCAGUUUACUAAGGAGCUAUGCAUUUGUGACACAAUUGGUGACAAUCAGGAAGUUAUGAGGAGGAACCAGUCCAAAGAUAACUGCUACCUGUGGAACCUGAAGUCUUAACUUUUUCCACAACAUGCUCCUCAGCCAAGGAAGAAACAUGAUGGAAGCUGUGGCAUAGACGUCUUGGACAUCUCCACUUACGGGGAAUGAAGAAGAUUAUAUCCAAGGAAGCAGUCAGAGGAAUUCCAAAGCUUCUGAUUGAUGAAGGAAGAGUAUGUGGAGAAUGCCAGGUGGGCAAGCAAACCAAGAUGUCACAUCCGAAGCUGGGACAUUCCACAACCUCCAGAGUUCUGGAACUGUUGCACAUGGACCUAAUGGGACCUAUGCAGGUUGAAAGUCUUGGUGGGAAGAAAUAUGCAUACGUGGUGGUGGAUGACCAUUCCAGAUACACUUGGAUAAGCUUCAUCAGAGAGAAGUUAGAUACAUUUGAUGUCUUCAAAGACCUGUGCAUAAGACUUCAAAGGGAAAAGGACAGUUGUGUGGUCCGGAUUAGAAGUGAUCAUGGUACGGAGUUCAAGAAUUCCAAGGUUGAUGAGUUUUGCUCGUCUGAAGGAAUAAGUCGUGAGUUCUCCUCCCCUAUAACUCCUCAACAGAAUGGAAUAGUUGAAAGAAAAAAUAGAACUAUUCAAGAAUCUGCCAGAGCAAUGAUUCAUGCAAAGAAGCUCCCCAUGCACUUCUGGGCUGAAGCANAGAUGUAGGUCAUGUUGGACUGAACUGGGUAAACAAUUACUUGUGUUAUUUACUGCACUUACUGUUAAGUUCUGCAUAAUUCCUGUCUGUGCAGAAUUGGAUGUCAUAACAACCCGUGUGACAUCCAAAGUCUGAUAACUAGAAUUUCAAAAGAGAUAUACAUCUCUCUUUCUAUUCAUUAUUUUUUUGUUUUUUUAUUUGAUAGUAAGAACGACAUAUGGAUUGGGCGGCGUGUUUUUUGUGUCCCUUCGUCUCCCAUCGACAAUGCAAUAUAUAGCAUAUGUGCUAGGGUUUUUAAUCAUUGAUAAUACCACAAAUACCCCUUCUAUAUGCUAUUUAAUGAUAAAAUGAGUUUAAAUUACUUAAAAUAAUUAAAAAUCAAACAAUAUAAAAUGAUCAAAAUAAAAUCAGAAAGAAUACAUAGUAAGUCCUAUUUAAUCAUUUCGAAUAUUUUGACAUAGAGAUAAAAAUAAACAGACUCAAAACGAAAAAAGAUCGAGUAUAAAAGUGCUCAAAAAAUUAAAAUGAUUGCACUAAAAUGAUUAGCGUGAAAUAAACUUUCUGAAAAUAUACAAGUUUUGAUUGAAUUUUGAAAUAAAAAUUGAUCGGUUAAAAUGCUCAAACUGAUCAAAAUACAACCGAAAAGGUGGACGAAAAAAUAAAACGAGCACGUCCGGUUGAACUACGUGAAUCGUACAUUAAUAAAACUGACAUCUGCAAGCUCGAUUUUGAAAAAUUUCGUCUGUUAAUUUCACGUACAUUUGAGGAUCAGUUUGACUGGUUUAUCUGUAGAUUCAAAAAAUUAUUUUGGUUGACAUUUUAUGCAUUAUUCAAGAUGUUAUGAUGUGUAGAUGAUGCAGAUGUCGAGAUGAUUGUAUUGAUUUAUUGAAUGGGGGUCAAAAUUGGGGUAUGACAAAUGUUAAACAAAGUAAAUCACCUGAGGUCCAUUAUUCAACCAAUGAUAUUGAAUACAACAUAGGUUAUUAUCUAUCAGAUGACAUUUGUGAAAAGCAUCCAAAUGCCAUAAUGGGAUAAGAGAAAAGUGUCUGCCCAACAUCAAGAAGGUGGAAGAAAGGAUAUCGAACGGGCAUUUGGAGUUCUCAACUCCCGAUUUACGAUCAUAUGUAACUUAGCUCGAUCUUGGAAAUUAUAUGCACUAAUGUGUAUAAUGGAUAUGUGCAUCAUAUUGCAUACCAUGAUUGUUGAAGAUCAAUGUGCCACAUGUAGUAGCAAUUUUGAUUAUUCUUAUGAUCAUAUAGGAAAUGAUCCGAUUACACCAUGUUCGCUGAGAAAUAAAAGUAAAUUUUACAAUUAUUGUAUUCACAUAGACUGGUGGUUUCAAAGACCAUUCAACGGUUUUUAAGAUCUUAUGUAGAUAAGGGUUGUAUAUUUUUGUGAUGUGUGAAAGUAAAUGACAGAAAGUAAAAUGGAGAUUUCGGUGUUAAAAAUAAGAAAACCUGCUAUGGGUAGAUUUCACCAUUACAUAUUUAUAAUGCACACUAUAACACCUCAAAUUCGACUGAUUUAUUUAAUUGAAUUUUCUUUUGCUUUUAUUUAUUUAUUUGGGUAAUUUGAUAUAUUUUAAUUAUUUAUUUUGGUGAUAACAUGUGUUAUGUUAUUUUUGGGAGUUUAUUAGAAUUUAGUGGACUUUAUUUGACUAAAAUAAUAAAAUAAGAGAAAUGGUGAUAUUGGGAUAAAAGUAGAAUUAUUAGAAAAUAAGGGAAAAAGGAGAAGGUAGAGGUGAGUUAAGGGGUAAAAGUGAUUUAAUUAUAUUUUUAGGUUAAAAUAAAUAGAAUGUGUGAGGGGAGUCAAAAUGGUCUAUACAGAAAUUGUGCAAUUGGGAAAAAGAGGCAAGUGUGAGAAAAGGAGAACAAUGACUUGAGGGAGAAGAAGAGCACCAUAUCCAAACUUGUUAGUUGUUGGAAAUUCAAGUAGGGGGGACUACUCUAAUAUAGGUGUCAUUGCAUGAAGGAUAGAGAGGGAUCCUCACCCAUCUCUAGGUUUUUCUCCAUUGAUGUCUUUGAUGAGUCUUUGAAUAUAGUCAUUUGAAAUCUAUGAUAAUCAAUUUAUGUGAAAUGAAAUAUGUGUCCUGUGUGUGGCUGGAUUUUAUGUUUGAUGAAUGGAUAUGAAUAUGAAUAUUAUGACUACCAUUGUUGAAUAAUUGAUAUGAAUAUGAAUAUGAACAAAGUCUUGAGUUCAUGUUUAAUUGGUGAAUUUGGAUGUUAAUUGGUGUAUAUAUGACGGUUUGAUUGUUAUAUAAUAUGUAUCUAUUAUUUUCUAUAUGCUUCGGGCUACCCGUCAUGCUUCUGGGUCACUGAAGGUCGUCAGUAAGGUGACGGGAUGACCGUCAUGGUCUCCAGGUGGGAUUUUCCUGUCGAUCGUCAUAGGGAUGAUGGGUUAUGAAAGGGAGCGAUGACAGGCUGGGUGACGAGCUAGUCGACAUGGCCGUCAAAGACCAGUUUUUAGUGAUAAGUCUGAUUUUCACUGUUGUUUUCUCGUGUAGUCGAUGGUUGACUGUUGUUUUGGUUUACUUGAUAUUGUAAUUGAUUAAGGUGAAUUAUUAUGAUGAUGAAAUAAUAAUUGAUUAAUUUGUAGGAUUAUAAGUGGUGAAUUAUGAUUAUGUUCUUGAGUUAUAAUGUUGUGAAUAUUUUAUUUAAUGGAAUUUUUUGAAAUUUUUUAAAUAAAAUUUAAUGCAUGAAUAAGAUUUAAUGAAAUGCAAAAGUUUUAAAUGAUGAUUUAAAUGAAAAACAUCUUUGAUGAAAAUGACAAAAUAAAUUUUUAAUGCUAGAAAUAAAAGAUGAUGCAUGAAUGAAUGUAAAUACUAUGCACAUACAAAAUAAAUAAAAUCGAUGCAUGAGAUAAUUGAAUGAAUAAGAGCACGAAAUCCACAAAUAUUCCACAACACAUAUUUAAGACAAACAACAGACUUAUGUACAAAGAUAAUUACACACAUGUAUACAACAAAAAGAAUAAAGGAGGGUAUGAACGAUCAUACCAAUUUUGACGAUAUAGGCUUAACUCGUAGCACACAAAAAUGAUUAGUAAUCAUCUACUAGAAUAACAUAAGCUAAAGUACAACCAAUCGUAAACGAAUUGGAUAUAACUCCUCUUGCACGUCUAAAAAUCACUAUCGGGCUCUUCUUCAUAAGACUUUAGAUGAACUUGUAUGACGGAUAUUCUGAUUAUCAUUGAUUGACAUAUCUUGACAAUCUUAGAUAAUUGAUUUAACUCUUUGAUGAUUAUAAGAACUUUGAGGGACACUUUGUAACCAUUGAAUCUUUGGUAAUUGUGAGAACUUAGAUAACAUCUCCAAAUGUAACAAACUGACUUCACCUUAUUUUUACGAUAACCUUGGAAGAGUAGGUCACUUGAAGAUGCUUUUUUGCUUCUUUCUUUAAUCUCUCAAAAACUUCAAGCAUGUUGACAUAUGAAUGCAAGUCCAUCUUUAAGCAGGAUUAAUCAAAAACAAACUUUAAGACAUAGUGUCAGGUUUCCGAUUACAUUGCACAUACCUCAAAAUUUUGUUAGUUCGAUCCUAAAUGAAUAAAAACUUAGAGAAUAUAUUAAAUACAAUUGAUGAUUGAAGAAUAUACUUGUAAGAAUUUACUUUAAGUUAACCUAUGUAACGCAGGAAAUGAAUGAUCAAACAUUAGGAAAUUAAUACAAUAUUAUUGAAAUUCAUUUAAUUGCAUAAACUUCCAAACGAAUAGAAAAACUCGUGUAGGAUCGAAAAGGAACCAUAUCCUCAACUUUUUUAGUCGCAAGACUGUGAUCAAAAGCCCUGCUCUGAUACCAAUUAUUGGGUGAGAAUAUAGGGAGGGUGAAUCGACCUAUCCUCAAAAAGACAAUUUCAAAAAUGUUUUAGGUCCCAUAAACUAAAUUAGAGAUUUUAAAAUACGUGGAAGAAAAACACAAUAUAAAGAGAGGUUGGAAGCUUCUCAAUGAAUUAGUCCAAUAAAAGCAUUACAAAAUAUAACUAAAGGCAUGAUUCUUUCUAAUGGAAAUAAGUUACAAGAUAACCAAGCCCGCUUUAAACAAAGCGAUUUUAAAACCUUUACAUAGAAUUUAAUUUAAAACACAAUUGAAUUUAUGAUGAUCCAAUAGGUUUGAUACAUCAUAGACCCAAACUUACACAUUAAAUCGUUAUAAGAAAGAUCUAACCUAAAUUACGUAUAAACGAUGCAAUGAUGCAAUAGUUAUAGUAAUAAAUGCAAAAAAUUAAAUGAGGUGAGAGAAGAUUGGGGAGUACACAGUGAUAAAACAUUAAAAAAUAAUCACGACCUUCCAUUAUUUCAUAAAUUUGAUACAAACAUUUUGAUUAUAAUGAAAUAUCACACAAUAAUUUCCUAUGUUGAUGCAGAUACUCAAGUUGCUAACAAAAAUAAAAUCCUCAAUAAUUUUGAUCCAAUAACCUUGCUCUCUAUAAUAACCUGUUCCAAGUCUUUGUAUGUGGAAAUCCACCUUGAUCCCACUGAUUUCUUGUCUAAGCGAUUUCCAUUAGUUAAGCGUUCAAUUGGACAACUCUCAACUUCGUAUUAUGAAUAGUUUUCACUAGACUUCACCAAAGUCUUCCAUGAAGUAUAGUGAAACUCUUCUCGUGAUGGAUAAUACACAACCCAAACCGCAUUCAAGAAACGAUUCAUGCACCUGUUGCAAAUAAUAAAUUUCACACAAAAACAUUAGAUACCCUAAUGUACCAAUAGUCUCCCUCAAAUACUUAAUUUUUAGGGAUGAAGGUCCAUAACACUGGAUAAUGACUAAGGUCGAAGAUGAUGAACAAUGUCAAUGAAUAUCACACACACACACACACACUCUAACUCACAAGAUAUUAACAAGGAAUUAGAUGAUGGUGAAUGAAGAAUACAUAAAACGGUUCUCUCAAGUUUCUGAAUAAAAUGGGUCUUAGAUCUUGAUGGUUAUCGUGAGCUUGAUCAAUAAUGAAUCAUUAUAGGAUUGAUCAACUCUCUUUCUAUGGUUUCCCUCAAUAAAAAAUUACAGACAAAGUGUAACAAAAAUAGAUAUAAUUUUACAUGGAUUACACUCAAGAAGUUGUUCUUCAAAAAUAAGAGAAAGAUACAAAGGUGCUACACACUACAGAAGAAAAGACAAAUUGACAUUUUUGUCUAAGAGUUUCAUCAAAUCUUUUAUCAUGAAAAAAGUUCACAAUGAGACACUCUAUUUUCUUGGAUCACAAAAGCAACUAUUUAAAUCUAAGGUGGAAAUUUGCAUUUUUGAAGUUAUGAUUUGAAUCACUAUUCAAACCCAUGAGUUAAGUUAAGUGAAAACCAUGAUUCGAGUCAUAUUGUGAUAUGAUUCGAGUCACUUGUAAUUCAUGAUUUGAAUCAAAUCUGACAGAGCCAAAUCUUGCUUUCAAAGAAAGUUGUGAUUCGAGUCAAGUUAAACUUUUGUUUCGAAUCAAAUCACACUGAGACAAAUUCCAAUUUUCAUAAAUUGUAUGAUUCAAAUCAGACAAUGUACAUGAUUUAAAUCAAGCAAUUCAACACCUUGACUCAAGUGUUCUAACUUGUGAUUCAAACAACACUUAAUGAAAUGAUAAAAAACAACUUGCUAGGCUCAAAAAUAUCACAUAAUAUCAUGUACCAACCUUCUAAUUUAUUGAAUAAUGAAGGGACUUAAGGUACAAUUCUAAAUAGCUGAAGCGAACAUAAUAGAAUUCAAAUGCGAACAAAUUAAAAACACGCGAAUAAUUAAAUAUCAAACAAAAUUACAAACACACAAAUAAUCAAAUAAGACAUACAUGUAAAUUGACUAAAACAUCAAAACUAAAAGACUUGCAAUUUCAAUAGGAUCUUUAUAUGUUUCGGGAGUGGUGUGUAGAUUUAUCGAGAGACAUUCUGGCCCUUUUCUGAAUGUUUUUUCCUCUUAGUGGAGUUUAUAUGAUUAUGUUUUUUUAGGAUUUGUCAUGUUGUGGUUUGAUCAUUUUGGAAGUCUUAAAUGAUAAGGUUUUUCAGCCACAUUAGUGAUAGUGAAACAAGUGGAAGACAUGAGUAUCCUCUUAGCUUGAAAAUGGUAUAUUGGUACUUCUGUGGACAACUCUUGUGCUUUCUCGGUGUGACUUGAGAAUCCUAUUAUGCAAUUGAGCCAAUAAUGGCGUGAGAGACUUCAACCUCAUUUGGAUGUCCUUUUAGGUGGUUUUUGGAGUUUGGUGGUCGUUUAUGUUGUCCCCGGUAUAGAGAAUUUUUUCUGAUGGCUUUUAGCUUCUCUUAUUUUGGGGUUGUUGUUUGGAUGUUUGGGUGCUUAAAGUUUCUUUUCUUGAUUUUUUCGUUUUCUUUUUAAUAUGCCCGAGCUAAGUACACCUUGUGAAUUUUUUUCAAAAUAACCAAUUUUUAAAAAAAAAAUCCAAAAUAACCAAUUAUUAAAAAAAAAAUACCAAAAUAACCAAGUUUGGUAGAGGAUGCGCCAGAUGAAUUGGCGCACCUCGAAACCACUAAGAGGAGGCGCCAAUAGCAUUGGCGCAUGCAUUGGACUCCUCAUGAAGAGGCGUCAAUGCUAGUGGAGCCUGCAUUGGGCCUCAUGAGGAGGCGUCAAUGCUAGUGGCGCUUGAGUGUAUUUUUCUUGGUAUGCGCCAGUUCAUCUGGCGCCUGCAUGUGAUGCUCAUGUGGGCGCCAAUCCCUUAGGCGUCCAUGUGUUUUGUAUAAUUGAUGUUCCGCCUUUAUAAAUACCACGCCUUGGAUACAAUAUUUUUCAUUAAAACUCAUCUCCUAAUACCAUAAGUUGUCUAGUUCAACCAUCAAUUUCAAUUCUCUCUGUUUCAACAAUGUCUGCAUACAUUCAGAAACGAAAUGCUGAUGUAAUAUUUUUUGCCGUUGCGACUUCGAUACAGGCUCGACUUUGGAACACAAAUACGUUUGAACGUCUAAAUCGGACGUUGUACAAUUGAUUAGAGGGAGAAAUUGGAGAGGGUGAACGGAUUAGAAGAAUAUAAUGGCUUGUGUCCAUGUUCAACCAACACGGAGAAGUGCGUGAAUGGGUGUAUAUUAAGACCGACCAAGACGCUCGCAGGAUGAUGCAUUACAUGUUCAAAAUUGUUUUGAUGGUUGUAAUUGCAUAGUUCUUGUAUUGUAUUUGUUACAAUUAUCUGUUUUACUGUUUAUGUAAUGGUACUUUCAACACAGACGUCUAAUAUGAAAUAAAUUUAGUUUUUCAUAUAUUGCAACAGAGGUACAUCUGAAUUUAUCUGGUUGUGCUCAUUCCAACACUAGGACAGUUAUUACGAUUGUGACCUGGUUGACGACACAAACUAUAUAGUCUAACCAUUUUGUUCUCCGUAUCCAUUUCGGUUCGAAUCCGGGUGCUGUUAGGGCGACCCUUUUUCUUCCUUCGCAUAACUUCGUUAUGCCAGACGAUGUCCCCUUGAUAUUUUGGCCAAUAAUCCUCUUUUGCCACUACCAAAAAACUAAUUUUAUAAACAUUUGAAAGGCUGGAGACUUUGUAAACUUCAGAUAGCAAGUAGGAUAGAUUCAUUUGAACCUUUGAGCAUGCCGCAAUGACAUGGGAGCAGGGGGUACGAAAGGCUUGGAACCUUUCGCAGUUGCACCAACCUCUAUCUAGUUCGACUUUGUACUGUCCCAUCGGCAUGCCCUCAUUGUGAUCCAUGGACUCGGCAACACUAAACCAACCUUUAGUUUGGUCAAAUACCGUAACCACGUGUGUGUUUGCUUUGGCGGCUUCAUGUCUGAUGAAUUUCAUUGAAGCAUCAUUGAACAACUAUCCAGAUUGCAACACUGAACUCCAUUUUGAGCGUCUGGUUUCAAACAACGCCCCUAGCCUGAAAUAUGUAGCCUGCACCAAAGCGGUUAUUGGUAGGUUACAGAUGCCUUUGAAGAUAGAGUUCAUUGAUUCCACAAUAUUUGUUGUCGUGUGGCCCCAACACUAACCGUUGUCGUAUGCCCUAGUCCACUUCUCCAACGGAAUACUAUCGAUCCACCGUACCGCAUCUUCGUUCGACAAUCUUAUUUCCUUGCGGUAGUGUUUGAAAGAAGGUUCUGAUAAUGCGUAACCUACAUUGACAACCUUCUUACGUAACGUCUUAUCUUUGAUUUCCCGCAUGAAAUUCUGAGCAAUAUGUCUAAUAAAGAACACAUGCGUCGAAGGAGGAUUUUGCCAGCCACUGUCAAUGUUAUUAUAUUCACUGAUGAUUGAGGGGUGUCUAUCAGAGAUCAAAUACAAGUUAGGCUGAGGUGCAAUGUGCAAUAGGAGAUUUCUUAGGAAAAAACUCCAUCCCUCAGCAGUCUCCCCUUCAACUAGGGCAAAGACGAUUGGAAAAAUAUUGUUGUUCCCAUCUUAUGCCACUACCAUCAGUAACGUUCCUUUGUAUUUUCCAUACAACCAUGUACCAUCAAUUUGUAUAAUUGGUUUACAGAAAUAAAAACCUAUGAUACAUGGUUGAUAUGCCCUGAAUAGACAGUGAAAUAUUCUAUUUCCAACAACACACGUACCAUCUGGUGUAUAGGCGAGCAAUGUUUCCAUCUUGACAAUUGUCCCGGGAGCAUAGUGUUUUAGAGCCAACAGGUAUUUUGGAAGUUGUUUGUAAGACUCCUCCCAAUUGCCAAACACUUUUUCAACAACUUUCGUUCUAGCUAUCACCUUCCUAUAUGAUGGAGUGUACUCGUACUCUACCCUAAUAUGCAAGAUUAUUGUACUCACCUUUAACGACGGAUUGUCGCCAAUGACAGACAAUAUUUCAUCGCAUAUUAGCUGAGAGCUUAAUUUAUGAUGAUCCUGCAUUGGGUUUGUCAGCAUGCAUGUGUGAUCUGGACCCAUUGAUCCAAUCUCUCAAGACUCGCUCCUCUUCCGGUAUGAAGCUGACAACCUGAAAAGGUAGUGCUCAUUCGGACAAUAAACUUUAUACCUCGAUGCGUUAGUUCUGUCAACUCUGAAAUCAAUUGAUAAUUGCAUGUGGAAUUUCUUAAUGGUUUUUACACAUUCCUCUUUUGUGCGAAAUGUGUCUCCUUGUUUCAGAGAUCCUUGCAUCUACACGUAAGGAUUGUAUCAUACAUCUGUCGAAGGUUCAUCUGAACCCAAAUUUAACCUUGUCAUGUGUUUGGGUGGGCAAUAUACAUGACUUGCUGGUAUUGGCUGCUCUUCCUCUCCAGCAUUCACCAUCGAAUCAACCAUGAUCUCAGGUUCCUCUUCUUCGUCGUCUAGAACAUUCACCUCAGCUUGUUCGUCAUCAGUCUCACAAAACACUUGUGACUGAUCAAUGUACUGAGACACCUGUUGUUGAUGUGGUAAUAUAUACAACUCUAUAUCAUUGUAACCGAAUUAUCCGUGACUGACAAACAUAUGCUAAACAUCAUCAUCAUCUUGAAUCUUCUUCUGAUAAAAUUUUACCUGGUUUUCUGCAAACCAAACCGGAUUUUUAUAGAUGAUCUGACCCACAUUACUGCACUACAAUUUCUUUUCUAUUCUUUGUUUCAGAUGUGAAAAUUUUGAUCAUCAAUUUAUUGUAAACCGAUUCACCUCUGCGUUUCGAAAACAAAAACCGAACAAUUGAUGAUCAAAUAUUUCACCUUUGAUAUGGGCACUGAUCAUGUAAUAUUGUGUGAAAGACAUUAUGUUGAAAUAUUAAAUAUGUAGAUAGCUUGAAUGGAAUUGAAUGGAUUGCUAAGUUGUUCAUUUGCACAACAUAAAUAGCAUGGUCAUUGCUAAAUUGGUCAUUGCAUUGAUAACUUGGUCAUUGUCUGUACAGACUUGACCAUGCAUGCAGUAGAAGGAAUCCAGCAUGCAGAGAAAAGAGUGACAAGAACACACAUGCGCCAAGGAAUCAAAGAAUCUAUGAGCUAUGUGCCCUAAGAUUCAAACCUAGGCGCUCAUUCCCUAGGCUCCAUAAAGUAACUGAGGCGCCAAAGGGUUGAGCGCCUCUUCACACAAACUUGUCUUAGGCGCCACUAGGAAGGGUGUCCCUUCCAAUUUCCAUACACUAAGGCGCCAAGAGGAAAGACGCAUCUUCCUUGCAUGUGAGAAAUCACAUGUAAGCGCCAAGAGGAAGGGUUCCUCUUCCCUUGCAUGUGAUUUCUUCAUAUGCGCCAAGAAGAGAUUCCUCACAUGCUAGCUUUGUCUCACAUUCUGAAUUUUGUCAUUCCCUUGUCUCCUCUUGCCUUUCCAUGCAACCAAUCACACUCUUUUUAGGUUACAAACAUACUCACUCAUUCAUCUAUAAAUAGCCUCUCAUAUCAACAAUAUCAAAUCAUCUUCAUCAAUACUCAAUUAUAUUCUUCUACCACAUUUCUUUCAUCUACCAAACUCAAGCUUUACAAAUUCAAAUCAUGUCUUUGUUGACUAUGUGCGAUGAACACAGAGGCACAGUCGAGAAUAUCUCGACAUUUGUAUGUUAUCUCUCUCUCUUUCAAGUUUUUAUGUUUUUUGUGUUAUACCUUUGUUAUCUCUCUCUUUUUAGUUUCUAUUUUUGUCUUACUUCUUAUAGAUAUCUUUUUUGUGUUAUACCUUUGUUAUCUCUCUCUUUUUAGUUUUUAUUUUUGUCUUAUUUCUUAUAGAUGUGUAUUUGUUGAGUAUGUAUUUCUUCUUCUAAUUGUAUUUUCUUACUUUUUUGUUAUUAGGAUCCGAAGCGGUUUAGAUGUCGUGUACAUGAAUAUGUACCCCACGAUCCUUUAAUAAAACCAUAUAUUAGAGGAUGUGGAUUUGGAAAUCAACUAAACAUUAUUUCGUACUCGGUGGACUACAAGUUCAUUAUGGCUUUGUUGGAGAGGUGGAGACCCGAGACCCACACAUUUCACCUUCCGAUUGGUGAGUGUACCGUCACACUUGAGGACGUGUACAUGUUGUUAGGUCUCCGUAUAGACGGAAAGGCAGUGAAUGGUCGAGUUAACCAAAACAAUAAUAUAUGCAAUGAAUUAUUGGGCGCCCCUUUGUUAGACGAUGAAACUGAGGGAGACACAUCCGGUCAAGCAAUGGGGCAAGGUAUAAAUUUAAAAUACCUAAAACAAUAUUAUGCCAGUAUAGUAUUGUCAGACGAUUCAACCGAGUAUGAGAAAAUAAUAAAAGCUCGGUGUUAUAUUAUGAUUUUAUUUGGUAACUUUCUGUUUCCAGAAAGUACAUGUAAUUCUGUGAAUAUAAUGUAUUUAUCUUUAUUACGCAACAUUAAUAAGGUAAACACUUAUAGUUGGGGUUCAACUGUGUUGACCCAUCUAUAUAGUGCAAUGUGUAUAACUGCAAAAAAGAAUACCUGUACUUUUUUUCAUGUGCGUAUUUGCUUCAAGCUUGGGGGUGGUCAAGAAUGUUGUCGCUCGCCCCGAUAAAUGAGCGUCCAUUCUUGUUCCCGUUUACAACCAAGUAAGUCUAACACUUUAUCAUUCACCAUUUAGUUAAUUAUAUUUAUUAUUAUAAUUAACAGUAAAUAAUAUUUUUCACUUUUUUUUAUUAUCUUAGGUGGCCAGUAAGGGGAAUGAACUACAACAGGUGUCCGAAACACGCUAUUGUAGUCUAUCGAAAUCUAUUGGACCACAUUGGACAUGACGAUGUAAUAAUCCUACCGAACUAUAUUUUAAUUUAAAAAUAUUUCUCAAAUUAUUUUGCAUCUAACCAUUUCGUAUUGUUUUACAGUUUGUUUGGAGGCCAUAUUUGGGUCUGAAUCAUGAUGUGAACCAUGACGCUGUUGCAGUUUGGACAGCGAAGACACCGAUUAUCUGAUUCACUACGGUGGAAAUGCACCAAAGUGACCGGGCCAAACUGCAGUUCGGAAUGCUACAACAGAUUCCAGAAUCUCCCACGUGUUUAAAAAGGGUCGAUGCAUAGUGAGAUUAUUCUGACUGGAGAGACUUUGCAAAAGACAUGUGUCGUCAAUGGAGGAAUCGAUGACAACGCAUCUUGAACGAACCAGUCAUCCAAGGUGCAAGACCCACUCAACAAUAUAUGACAUGGUUUAGGUCGGUAACAACUCAACAAUUUGUAUCUGAGCCGCGGUAUUUGAUGGAUCCACGCCAACUUGCUUCGUCAUCGUAUGCCCCACACCAAUUCACCAUCCAACACCAAUGUGAACCCACCCAAACCCAACAACCAACCACACAACAUCAACCGACCAUAUACACAAAACAACCAAACACCCAACAUCGCAACCCAUUCAUGCCAACUGUCACACCCCAAUUUGGACCCUGAAUCGCUGAUUCAAUACAUUCAUCAUAGCUAUUGCAUCUCUACAUAGUAUACCAUGCAUUCCAUACCGUAUAGCGCCUAGAAUAUCAGUCGAAAUAAAUUUUUUGGAUCUACAAGCAAACCGAUUGAAUUAAUCGACGAAUGUGCGUCAAAACAGUAGACGGAAAAAUUUCCAAAUAAGGCUUGCAGACAUCAGUUUUAUUAAUCUACGUUUCUCAUAGUUUAAUCUGGCGUGCUCAAUUUAUUUUUUUGGCCAUUUUUCGGUCACCUUUCGACUCGCCUGAGCCUUUUAACCAGUCAGAAUUUAUUUCGAAAUUAAAAGAAACGCUGUAUUUUUUCAAUAAGUUUAUUUUGUACUGAUCAUGAUGGUGCAGUCAGUUUAUUUUUUCGAGCAUUUCUUUUGCGUCCGCCUUUUAUUCAUUUUGGGUUAGUUCUUUUUUAUUUUUUGGUCAAUAGAUUUUAAAUAAUUAAAUAGGAUUGUUUGUGUUUUUAUUUUGAUUUCAUUUUGAUAAUUUAAAGUAGUUUGAUUUAUAUUUAAGUUAUUAGUUUUAUUCUAUUUCUACACCUAAAAGAGUCAAAUGACAUUGUUGGUACAAAGAAAACAAUUUUUGGUGCGUUGUGGGAUAUCAACAGACAUGGGAUGCAUUUGGUGUUGUCACUUUGCAUCAAAUUGCACAUAUUUCUUUUUGAUGAUAAAAGAGAGAGAGAAUACUUUCUAAAACGAGAGGAAGAGACCAAUCAAUUCAAUACAGCAUAAUAUGGGUGUUGGGUCGGAGGGAUCUCAAAACAAAAAUCAAUUUAAUAAAGUAAUAAGAGAGUAGGGACAAAUUUGCUUUUUUGGCAUGGACCAUUGAGUGGACUUCUUGAUGAUACCUUAACAUCAACACACUCUGCAACUUGAGGACAAAAUUGAUUCAACUUUCUGAUAUAUAAAAAGUCAUCAAGCCAUCAUUUAAAGGAGACUGAAUAGAGGAGGAACGAAAAGAAAAAUUAUUCUGAUUUCAUUGCUUUGGCUAAAGAGUUUGGACUCCCUCCUGUGAGAAAAGAAAAAAACUGUUGCAUUAUUUGCCAUUCCUCAAUAGCCAGGUAUUAUGACAGCUCAUUUGUUCUUAUGUAUACAUUUAUUUAUUUAUUUAUUAACUUUUCAUUGGUAUUGAGAGAGGGCACUUUCCAAGCACCCUCAUGUUUGUUUUUACUGCACAUAGUAGCCCUGGGAUAUACAACACAUCCAUUCUCUUUUAUUUCAUUAAGUCUCUUAAAAAUCACCCUUCUCCAGAUAACUCACACAAAAAAUCUUUCUUUCCCUCUCGCGAAUAAAACCUGCAAUAAACUAAGCUCUCUCAAUUCACAACUAAUCAUCAAACCAGAAUUAAUCGAAAAACUGUAAAAGAGUAUAUAUGAGAUUCAUGGCUCAACUUCCUCUCACUUGUUUCACUUCACCUCUCAACAAACAACCACUUUCUUCUUUAAGUCUCUUGAAAACCACCCUACUUCAAAACCGAAUCAUAAGCCACCUUCCUUUGUAACUUUCGCUUUCAGCCUUGAAGCAGCAAUACGCUGUAAAUCACCACCUUAUACAUUUUUCUGGUGAAACCGUGACUCUUAGUUCGGUCAGCCACAACCGUCAUUAUGCAAACCACUCACUUAUCACCCUCACGGUAACAACAACACAAUACGUAUCAGCAUUUUCAGAUUCAACUUCAAAUCUGCCACACAAUAAAUCUGAAAUAAAAAGAAGGAAGAAUUUGUUAAAGCUUUCACCGAACAAUCCCGUGCAAGAGAAAUAUAAGGAAACACAUCAGAAGCCAAACUCAACGGAAACCGCCUCCAGACAAGAACCGUGAAGCCUUUAGCAAACCGUUUACCUCUUUUCAAAAACCACACGAACUCCCUCCGAUCUAUACUCAGGAAGAACAACCCAAACCGCGACUUCUUUGGAUUAACGACUACCACUCGACGGAAAUGAAAGGACAAUCAAAGGUCAUCGCCCCCUUUCGAAUACGAACGGUAACACGUUCGUCGUCGUCGCCGUCAUAACCUUCCGAAGAUUCCCACUCAGUUCUCUGCUUUACGAAUCGAUCCUUGGCUUUCCAUCUCUCUCCUCCGUUCUAGUUUCUCCCUCCGCCGUGUCGGAGGUUGUCUCCUGCGGCGGAGGCCCCUCUAAAAUCAAACUAAGAACAUCAUUCAACUUGUUUCAAGGCACUCUAUCCAAAUCCAAUGUCCAUUUUUCUCUAAUUUCACUUCUAAAACCCAAAUCGAUGCCAGCCGUCGAAGAACCCUAAUUCCCUUCAAACCAAAAUAAGAGAAAAUCUCGGAAGAAAAGGAGAAAGUAGGUGACGGAAUUGAGGGUGGUUUCAUUGAGAAACAAGGAGAGGAAGGUGACGUGGGUUUGAGUUUAAACCUGAUUGUGAAGAGAAGUAGGGAGAGAUCGAAGGAAGAGGUGAGAGAGAGCGGUGCUGCGUUAAUGCAUUUCCUGUGUUAAUGUUGGUAAUAUUACCUUGCGUUUUUUUUUCGUGAAAGAGAAAGUUUUUUGUUAUCCCCUGGCCACGUGUCUCAAUUGAAUGGACCUUUUUGGCAUUCAAAAUCCUAUCCUCCUUCUUCAAGGAGUACCGUUACCUACUGCCUUUUUAUUUACUUUUUUUAUUUUUAUUUUUUAUUUAAUUUUUAUAUAUUAAGUUUUUUAGGAUGUGGGCCUUGGGCCUCUUCAAGCUUUUUUUACUAAUUUAUAUCCACAUUCCAUUUAUGCAUUAAUAACUAUUUAUUUGUUCUUUAUUUGGUUUUGUUUGAUUAUAGUUUAGUUGAUUAGUAGAUUUUGAUGGCUCCGUAGAUUAUUAAGUUAUUUGUUGCAUCGAUCUCAUCGCCUUAUGAUUUAGAAAAUUAAAAUACAUUUUGGCUUCUGAAAAUCGCAUGAGGUGCAUAUAUUUAAUUGUUUGACUCUUUAUAAAGUGAUCCUUACAUAAAUCUACACUAAGAUAGUUUCAAGCUAAAUCCAGUUCCAUGGCUUACUCUUCGGCAUAUUCUCCACGAACUCUUAAGCAAUAUCAACUUGAUUGACCAAUACCUCAAACCUUCACAUUAAUCCUUCUAUUCAAACGUAACUUUUUAUUGAAAUAUGAAGAAAAAGAUUUGAUCCUGGAUGAAAUAUCCAGUUAUAAUCCCGAAUAUUAGGCUCAAGCUGUAAGAGCUGCAAGCCAUAAAUAUUCGUCUUCUCUUCCCCACACUCCAUUAUUCAAAUCAUUUUCUUAACAAAGUUGGAAGAAAAAGAUUACCUUGAUGGAAUAUCCAGUCGUAAUCCCGAAUAUUAGGCUCAAGUUGUAAGAGCUUGUAAGCCCCAUGUAUUUGUCUUCUCUUCAAAAUACUUAUAAAAUAUCGAAACUUCUUUUCUCAGUAAGUUGGAAGAAACAGACUACCUGGGUGGAAUAUCCAGACGUAGUCCCGAACAUUAGGCACAAGUUGUAAGAGCUUGCAAGCCAUAAGUGUUCGUCUUCCCUCCAAAACAUUCGUAAAUAUUCGAACCAUUUCUUUAAGCAAUUUUGGAAGAAAAAGAUUACUUGGGUGAAAUAUCCAGACAUAGUCCCGAGUAUUAGUCCCAAGCUGUAAGAGCUUGCAAGUCACAAGUACUCGUCUUUCAAACUUCAAAAUACUUAAUUCCUAUCUUAACCCCUUUCAAUAAAGAUGGAAAUGGAACAUGGUGGAUACCGUGCACUCCUGAGAUUAAGAUUCGAGGUGGAUGCCUCGCCUAUCUUAGUUCUCAUCAUCAUUUAAAAUUGUCAAUGCGGUUUCUUCAAACCCUUUCUCAAUCAAACCUCAAAAUACUUAAUCUUUAUUAAAUAUUUUUUUCCAGUAAGAUGGGAAUGGAACGUGGUGGAUACCACACACUCCUGAGUCUAGGAUUCGAGAUGGAUAUCUCGCUCAUUCAAGUUCUCGCCAUCACUCAAAAUACAUCCAACCAAUCAAACUCUUUUUUCUCGCCGCCGUGCGAUUAAUCAAAAAACCAUUUUCUCGGACACCGAACUUCAUUACGGAAGCGCCGUUGGCCAAAGCCCCUCCAGAUAUUGGGAGCAAAUGAUGACACAUCUGUCAAAUACCGCUGGAACUUUCGCCGGACCUUCCGACCAGCCAUCACUCGAUCAGGUCAGCACCCAAAGACCACAAACACCUCAAGAAAAUCGUGGGAGACCUCGGAGACAAACUAAUGCACCGGGAUGUGGAACGGGGGGACGUUAUAAUCGGGUCAGUCAUUAGUUUAUUGUCAGUCCAAUGUAACCAAUUAUUACAUAUUCAAUGAAUUUAUUUUUUCAUUACUAUUUCUUAUUUAUUAAAUAAUAAAAAUUAAAUAUUGAAAAUUAAAAAUUAAAAAAAAAAAAAAAAAAUAGGGGGUGUGUGUAUGCGCCAGAUGAACUGGCGCAUACCAAGCAAAAUACACUCAGGCGCCACUAGCAUUGGCGCCUCCUCAUGAGGCCCAAUGCAGACGCCACUAUAAUAGGGGGUGUGUGUAUGCGCCAGAUGAACUGGCGCAUACCAAGCAAAAUACACUCAGGCGCCACUAGCAUUGGCGCCUCCUCAUGAGGCCCAAUGCAGACGCCACUAGCAUUGACGCCUUCUAAUGAGCAGCCCAAUGCAUGCGUCAAUGCUAUUGGCGUCUCCUCUUAGUGGUUUGGGGGUGCGCCAAUUCAUCUGACGCACCCUCUACUAAACUUGGUUAUUUUGGUAUUCUUUUUUGAAUAAUUAGUUAUUUUGGAAAAAAAAUUAAAAAAUUGAUUAUUUUGAAAAAAAAUUCCACACCUUUUUGUUGCUAAAAUUCUUAUUAAUAGUUUAAAAUUUAACAUUUUAAAACAUAAAUUUAUUUUAUUUUAAAUUUUAAUUCUAAUUCGUCAACAAGGGUAAAAAAAAUAGUAUAUUUGUUUAGUACUUUUGAGUUUUAGUUAGAUAUCAAUAUAUUUAAUAUAAAUAAAAAAUUCAAUUUAUUUUAAAAUAAAAUAAUAUGAAAUUGAAUAUUAUUAUUUCAUUGGAUGAAUGUAGCAGUAUCCAAGUAAAUUCAAGGUAUCACAAUGUUCACCAAUAAUAUUCACGAAAUUACAAACAAUGAAAGAAAACGGAUUUUACAUAAAUUUUUUUUUAAUCUUUUGUAAAUUAUGAAAUUAUGAUGGGUAAAAUCGUCAACCAAACAAAGACUAAUCUGCUUGUUAUUUGCAUCAGAGUCUGUAAAUUUAGACAGAGCGAUCAAGACCUAAAGCACUACAACUACACUCGCCGGACGGAAAAGUGACCCCAUCUCCACGGCGUUCUAAAGGUAUCAUCGCCGUAUUCUCAAUUUUCAUUUCCGAUCCCUUCCUUUCUCUUAUUAACCGCAUCGAUCCCCAAUUUCCAUCAUCAUUAGAAAUUUCAAUGUUCUACAUCACAAAUUCAUUAUACCGACACAUAUUCUCACAGAUGCGAUAUUUUUUACUUGAUAUGGUUUAUGAGUUUUCAGAUCGGGGUUUUUUGUUUCUAUGGUAUGUUUUUAUGUAUCAAUUCUUUAGUCUUCUGAUAAUGAGAUCGUAACGAAAUUGUAGAAUAUCUGAUUAUUCACGAUCUAUUUGGAUUUUCAAUUGUAAGUGUUAAUGAGAAAAUUGGAAGCUAGGUUUACAAUAUAGGUCAAAUGCAGAUGAUGCAGCUGUAAAUUUAGUUGUGAAUUGUGAUGUGGCCAUGCAGUUUCGAAAACCUUUAUGAUAUUGACGCAAUUCCGGUUAGGCUAUGUUUGGAUCGAUGGAGCCGGAUGAAGCGGUAUGGGAUGGAAGGAAUGGAGUGGUGUUCCAUUGUUUGUAUCAUAUAAAAUCGGAUGGAGCAGAGUGGAAUGGGAUGGUAUGGAUUUCAUUUCAUUCCAUCAGUUACCACUAUAUUUCUUCCCCUCAAAUAUGAGUGGAAUGAAGAAUUUGUCUUGGUCCGUCCUAAAAUUUCAAAUGAUGGAAUGGAAUCUUCAUUUCUCUCUGUUACGUUCCGCUCCAUUCCACUCUGCUCAUUUCCAUUCUGCUUUGUUCAUUUUAUGAUUUCCAAACAUCAUAGUCAGGCUAGGAAAAAAACAAUUUAGAUUAUGAUAGAGUUUAGCUAGUUGAUUUUUUUUACCCAUUUUUUGUGCAUUCAAACUUGAGGCUUUGAUGGUAUGUUUAGUUGUGAUGGCCAAGUCAAAUUUUGGAGUGUGCCAGGAUAAUUUUAAGAUUGAUUAUUGUGAUGUAAUCAAUUUUGCGGUAUCACAAACCAGGUUAUUACUCACUAGUGUUUUUUUGCCGUGAUGUUACAGAUGAUUGAUGAUAAUGAUCUGGGUUUCUUUGCCAAUUUUCUCGGUGUUUUCAUCUUUGUGCUGGUGAUAGCAUACCACUAUGUCGUGGCUGAUCCAAAGUAUGAAGGAAACUAGGGAAGUUUUGAAGUUGAAGAUGUAAUUUUAUAUUGUUGUAGACUGAGAUGCUUUGCAAAUGGAAUUCAAUGUGAUAGAAUUAUGAACUUCAGUUUGGAAUAUUAAUGCUAGCUUGCUACUAAAACUUUUAUAAACAUCAAUUGAGUACAACUUUAUUUAUUUAUUUUUGAUAUACUUGCGUGCAUGGUAGUAAAAAUCCCGAUUUUAAUUGUAAAAUCUUAUGAUUUUGCGAUUGUGCUCGGUGGAUAUGAG
rnacentral:lncRNA from 1 species